UAUACUUUAGUAUAAGAUGUAUAAAAGUUUUUGAUGCUUUAGGAGAUAGUUUAAUUCUGUCAAGUGUAA
rnacentral:tRNA from 1 species